AUGGGGUCGAUUUAGCCAUGCUAGUUGCACGAGUUCACACUCGUGGCGAAAAGCUCAGUAACACGUGGCCAAACUACCCUACAGAGAACGAUAACCUCGGGAAACUGAGGCUAAUAGUUCAUACGGGAGUCAUGCUUGAAUGCCGACUCCCCGAAACGCUCCGGCGCUGUAGGAUGUGGCUGCGGCCGAUUAGGUAGACGGUGGGGUAACGGCCCACCGUGCCAAUAAUCGGUACGGGUUGUGAGAGCAAGAACCCGGAGACGGAAUCUGAGACAAGAUUCCGGGCCCUACGGGGCGCAGCAGGCGCGAAACCUUUACACUGCACGCAAGUGCGAUAAGGGGACCCCAAGUGCGAGGGCAUAUAGUCCUCGCUUUUCUCGACUGUAAGGCGGUCGAGGAAUAAGAGCUGGGCAAGACCGGUGCCAGCCGCCGCGGUAAUACCGGCAGCUCAAGUGAUGACCGAUAUUAUUGGGCCUAAAGCGUCCGUAGCCGGCCAUGAAGGUUCAUCGGGAAAUCCGCCAGCUCAACUGGCGGGCGUCCGGUGAAAACCACAUGGCUUGGGACCGGAAGGCUCGAGGGGUACGUCUGGGGUAGGAGUGAAAUCCUGUAAUCCUGGACGGACCACCGAUGGCGAAAGCACCUCGAGAAGACGGAUCCGACGGUGAGGGACGAAAGCUAGGGUCUCGAACCGGAUUAGAUA
rnacentral:rRNA from 1 species